AUGCUACGAGUAGAAACACCACUGUGACUGGUCGAGAAGCCAUGGUUGCUAAGCCGUUGCUAAGCAAAAUGUGGCCACACCUACCGCUUUUCUCCAUUGAAAUGUUAGGCAAAGCAGCUCUCUCGAGUCGCUCGCCUUUUCUACUCACUUCUAGAGGAUUUCACAAGCCAAAGUUUGGGUCGCGCUACUGGACUUUUCUACCUAUAUACUCUGUUUUUAGUCUUUGACAAUGUUAUAUAUGUUAGAGAGAUGAAAGGAGAACCUUUUAAAGCUAUCUAGAAUGUUAUAUUUCCAUAAAUAAAAAAGAAAAUAACAAUUAUACUACA